CACCUGCUCCCUUGCCCCUGCACGAAUUCCCACUAGAACUUCACACUAGGCAUGGCUCCCACUGAAUUCAUCAUCCCUUUCUGCCCCCAGCCUGCUCUUCCUGGGGUCUUUAUAAGCAAGUGACACCCACUCUCCCUAUCAUUUCUACCUCUAACCUCCUUCUCUCACUCCACACAUUUAUUGACGGCUUACUCUGCGUCCCCAUAUGCCUUCAUAAAUACCCUACCCUAAAAAGACUUGAUAAUUUUCCUUUGGCCGGCUAAAUCACUGCAUUUCACACCUUCCUUCACCAGGUCUGGGGUCUAGUCUGGAGCUUCUCUCUGCUUGCUUCCUUCCAGAGGUCUUCCUGAGGCUUUUGCCUAACACCUUGUAUCUGGUGGAUGCUUCUCCCCUACGCCAGAGGAGCUGGGCAAGUAGAGGUAAUCAAAGUAGAAAGGGGAAAAGGAAAAGAUGAAAAGCCUGGGAAAAGGUAAGGAUGCAGAUUUGCCCAUGGACUUAGCCCUAGCUACUCCUAGCCUCCGGUCCCUGAAGGACACAAGAAAAGAAAAAAUUUUUUUUCAGUAAGAGUAAUAGCAUUUUAUCAUCUGUCAGCGCCCACCCCUCACGGUGAUGCCUCUCACACAUAGGCCUGGAAGAGCUCUGGGUAGUGCUGGAAACUCACAGAGGGGUCUGAACACUCCUGAGGAAGAGCCCAGGGCAGAGUUCACACCUGUGUGUCAGCCCUUGAGGUCCACGGCACCAGGCUGGCACUGGGGUCUACUGGUGGGCCUCUGGCUAAAGCACCUUCCACACUAGGGACAGGAAUAGGUCAGCUUGCCUGUGUGAGUCAGCAGGUAGCACGAGAGGUACCACCUGUGGCAGAAACAGGUGCCACACUACGCGCAGGCAAAGGGCCCCUCUCCAGAAUGCACUGAGUCAGGUGAAAGGUCAUGGCAAAGCGUGCCUGCACUCGGGGCAGGGUGCUGUGUGAGUACCAGGCACUGAGGCUGGGUGUAGAGUUGGGGCUUGGGAAAGGCCUGUCUACCUGGGGUGCUUUGGCCACAGGCUCAGAGACCAAGCUAGUGUCUCUGACCCCAGGAGCUCAUGACAACUCCCCAGUAGACUCCUGCUGGCUUCUUCCAAAUGUAUCAUUUUUCUGAGUGGCUGUUUUGAAACAGCAGAUUCAAAACUUACUUUUUGCCCUAUUCAGUCAAACUCUACUCAAUGUUUAGGUGGCAGAAUCAACUUUCACAACCUCAGAUGGGUGCCUAGCCCCUGGAAGCACCCACCUAGACUGUGUUGACCAAUUGAGGGGGUCACGGCAAGUCAGGGACAUUCCCACUUCAGGACCAACCCAAAGAGACACCCUCAACCAGAGAAACAGGUGUUAUAAGGCACAGGCACCUACAGGAAGGGGAACUGCUUCCAUCCUAAACUUUCAUUCACACGUUGACACUGACCUAGAGUUUGGAUGAUUUGUACAGUGUGACCUGAUCUUGGGACGCGUGGAUGCCUCAAUUAAGUGAAAAAGAGAAGGUCAAGAUUCUAGUCUCCGGCAUCCACCUGGGGAUCCUGAGCAUCUGCACUCCACAUCUGGGCCAUCUUUUCUACCCAGGAGAUGAGAGCUGGUUUGGGCUCUGGAAUCUUGGAGAAGAACGUUAAUCACUCAAUAAACAAUUCUUCAUUCAUUUAAUGAAAACA